rnacentral:rRNA from 1 species
CCUACGGGAGGCAGCAGUAAGGAAUCUUCCACAAUGGACGAAAGUCUGAUGGAGCAACGCCGCGUGCAGGAUGAAGGCUUUCGGGUCGUAAACUGCUUUUAUAUGGGAAGAUUAUGACGGUACCAUAUGAAUAAGGACCGGCUAACUACGUGCCAGCAGCCGCGGUAAUACGUAGGGUCCAAGCGAUAUCCGGAAUUACUGGGCGUAAAGCGUGUGUAGGUGGAUUAAUAAGUGUGAUGCGAAAUCCGGCGGCUCAACCGUUUGGACUGUGUCGCAUACUGUUAGUCUAGAGGACGGCAGAGGUAAGUGGAAUUACGGGUGUAGCAGUGAAAUGCGUAGAUAUCCGUAGGAACACCAAUGGCGAAGGCAGCUUACUGGGCCACACCUGACACUGAGACACGAAAGCGUGGGGAGCGAACAGGAUUAGAUACCCUGGUAGUCCACGCCGUAAACGAUGCAUACUAUUAGUAUGGGGUAUGACCCCCUGUGCUGAGAAGCUAACGCGAUAAGUAUGCCGCCUGGGGNGAGAGCGCAGCUAAACUACAANAGAAGUAGACGGCGUGAGACGUGCCGACGGACGACGACGAGGGAGGAGG